AGGAAGAGAGAGAAAGGUUGUGUUACGCUGGAUGCGUACAUAAACAGAUAUCACAAUAGUCGUAUGAUAAUAGCAGUAUCGGGUGCAGCACUAACUGUCUCCUGUUACACUCUACAGAACCCCUUUAUGCAUCUCCAUGGUAACCUGAGAGGUAUAGGACAUCAUUGAACUACUGGAGCAGAGGUGGGAAAACACGAGUAUCUAAGACGGAUGUCUAGGGGAAAGGGACCACGGGGCCACGAGACAGCAUGCCCCCCUGACAGAACCAGAGCUGGACCUGUCCUGUUCAUCACCUCAAAGGGAAGGAUACAGGACCUGUGCCAUGUCGGCUUAGUAAGACUGGGUCUGACACAGGUUGAACCCCGUUCAGAACUACAGCCUGAAGCCCAGGUGUGUAACUCACCAGUCGCUCUGCACACCUGCCCUCGCAGCCAAAGACUGACUGAUUCUUCUGAACUCUGCAGUGGCACCGUCUAAUCCAUGAAUCUAAUUAAGUGUAAUCACAGACCACUCUCAUCACCACCACCUGUUCUGCUGCCAGGAGGCCAAGAAUGUGACCUUAUCUAGCUUUAGGUGAUCCAGCCGUGUGAUGCUCCAUUCGGAGCCAGCAGCACUCCCCUGCACUCCUGUGUCUCAGCAUGAUGACAUCACAUGCCCAAAGAGGAUUAGACCUAAAUCUGGACGGGACAGCCAUUGUCUCGAUAUGACUCAUCCAUGCCAGCUUCACAUAAUAAUAACCCAGACCAUGACAGAAACCAUGAAACUACAUCUGCAACAGUUCGUUUUCCCACUGGAGAUGUUGAUGCUGUAGCAGGCUCUACCAACCCAGCCAUCUGGCCCAACCUCACUUCUCAAGUAAGGUCCUUUGACCAUCUCUCUGGUCUGGUUAAUUUAAGAAAGUUGAGUUUAAUGUAGUGGGAGAGUAGAGCUGUGAUAUAAACACAUGCAUCUCCUCUCCCCUCCAGACCACACACCACUCUUGACUACAUAGCAUGACAAAAACACGGGGAUUAUGGGUUAGGUUUGGGGGAGGGGGGGUGCAGCCUCUUUGGUUAUACUAUAUGGCUUUACUGCCAGGCUGCUCUCUUGCGGGUCCCGCUACGACUCAACCAUCUGUCAGUACAUUGGACGAUCCUAUGGAUUUGGUUUGAAGUCCAGAAAUGCACACCAACACACACAAACAAACGCCAUGAACAGGUGGCUAAUUUUUUGGAAUCAUUAAAAAAUUCCGCGGGUUAAUUAAACAAAAAGGCUAUCUCAAUUCUGACUUGACAUGCCCAUAAUGUUGUUACAAGUGGUCAGCAUCCCAGUACGCGUCACACGGGAUCUUAAGAUGGCGCCAAGGAGUCGAGACCACUCUGAUCGCUGUUCAACAAAAGAGCAGUAAGCCUACGGAAUUACCUCAUAGAAUUGGACACCAUAUACAAAUCAUUUGCAUAACGGUGUAAUGUAAAGCUAGAUUGGUACUUUGUUUUAGUGUUGACUGUAGACACAUUAACACUAGCAAUUUGCCUAUUGCUGACUAACUAACGACACGUGCUAUUUGUAAACCAGACCUUAGGAAAGCACCUCAUGAGGUCAUUGGAAAACAACUUAAAAACGUCUGAAUACUACUGAAUAACAUAUUUGACUGAUUUCUGUAUUUUAACAAGAAAAUGAAUAAGGUAACGUUGACUAACGUGAAAAAGCGCCAUAAAUGCACAUAAUUUACGCUAAAGGCGUUAGCAGAUGUUGCAGAUGUGCCGAGCUGAGAGGAACACUACUGGACGCUCGUGCUAGAAGCGACAUCCUGUUUGCAGUCAUCUAAACCAGUAACUCCAUGACUGGAAAAAAGUGUUUCAUAAACUUUACGCAAACAUGUAAUACAUUCCAUGCGUUGCUUAUAAAUUAUGAUGCCAUCGAACAGCUAACCCAGUGCUAAAGAGAAGGGAUAUAUAUAGUGGCUAUAACCAGGUUGUGCCAUGCUAAGGAGUAGAUAGCGGAUCAUCAGAGAAAAGCUAACGUUGGCGUUUACACCGAGCCACAUUUAAGAGAUUUUUGCUUAUUUACGCUACCUUUAAAUGCACUGAUUUGUUUACAAGAUGAACCAGUUACGAGUCUAAUUAACGGUGUCUUGUGUGCAGCAAA